AGUGAACGCUGGCGGUAGGCCUAACACAUGCAAGUCGAACGGCAGCACAGUAAGAGCUUGCUCUUACGGGUGACGAGUGGCGGACGGGUGAGGAAUACAUCGGAAUCUACUUUUUCGUGGGGGAUAACGUAGGGAAACUUACGCUAAUACCGCAUACGACCUACGGGUGAAAGCAGGGGAUCUUCGGACCUUGCGCGAUUGAAUGAGCCGAUGUCGGAUUAGCUAGUUGGCGGGGUAAAGGCCCACCAAGGCGACGAUCCGUAGCUGGUCUGAGAGGAUGAUCAGCCACACUGGAACUGAGACACGGUCCAGACUCCUACGGGAGGCAGCAGUGGGGAAUAUUGGACAAUGGGCGCAAGCCUGAUCCAGCCAUACCGCGUGGGUGAAGAAGGCCUUCGGGUUGUAAAGCCCUUUUGUUGGGAAAGAAAAGCAGCAGGUUAAUACCCCGCUGUUUUGACGGUACCCAAAGAAUAAGCACCGGCUAACUUCGUG
rnacentral:rRNA from 1 species